UACGGAGGAGGCAAGCGUUGUUCGGAAUUACUGGGCGUAAAGGGCUCGUAGGCGGCCAACUAAGUCGGAUGUGAAAUCCCCAGGCUUAACCUGGGAAUUGCAUCCGAUACUGGAUGGCUUGAAUCCGGGAGAGGGAUGCGGAAUUCCAGGUGUAGCGGUGAAAUUCGUAGAUAUUCGGAAGAAAACCAGUGGCGAAGGCGACUAGAUGGACAGGUAUUGACGCUGAGGUGCGAAAGCGUGGGGAGCAAACAGG
rnacentral:rRNA from 1 species